rnacentral:rRNA from 1 species
UACGGGGGGAGCAAGCGUUGUUCGGAUUUACUGGGCGUAAAGGGCGCGUAGGCGGCCAGCACAAGUCAGUUGUGAAAAUCUCCGAGCUUAACUCGGAAAGGUCAACUGAUACUGUGCGGCUAGAGUGCGGAAGGGGCAACUGGAAUUCUUGGUGUAGCGGUGAAAUGCGUAGAUAUCAAGAGGAACACCUGCGGCGAAGGCGGGUUGCUGGGCCGACACUGACGCUGAGGCGCGAAAGCCCAGGGGGAGCGAACGGGG